UACGGAAGAUGCAAGCGUUAUCCGGAAUUACUGGGCGUAAAGAGUUGCGUAGGUGGCAUAGUAAGUCAGUAGUGAAAGCGUGGGGGCUCAACCCCCAUACACAUUAUUGAAACUGCUAAGCUAGAGGACGAGAGAGGUAACUGGAAUUCUCAGUGUAGGAGUGAAAUCCGUAGAUAUUGGGCAGAACACCGAUGGCGUAGGCAGGUUACUGGCUCGUUCCUGACACUAAGGCACGAAAGCGUGGGUAGCAAACGGG
rnacentral:rRNA from 1 species